CGGGGCAUAGCGCAGUCUGGUAGCGCAACUGGUUUGGGACCAGUGGGUCGGGGGUUCGAAUCCCUCUGCCCCGA
rfam:Wohlfahrtiimonas chitiniclastica SH04 genomic scaffold scaffold_00008, whole genome shotgun sequence.